GAAAAUCACGUACACGCGUAAACUUGGUCAAGUGUGGCAAGAGUUAAGGAUAACAAAUUUUCAUAAAGAAUAGCAACAGAGAUCUUUUUCACUUAAUUCUAGACUUAAAUUGUCCAACGCAAAGAUAUCAAUGCUGUAAAACAGCCCAUGGCGGCGCCUAUCAAAAGGGAUAGGAAGAAUAUGGAAAAGAAAUCACUCAUUGAACGUAAAAACGCAGUGGUUUCGAAUUCGCCCGUAUUUGAAUAAUGUUCUCCAUAGUUUUGUAUGGCCCUGCAAAGAGAAGAGAAUCAAAUUAAAGUCCAAAACUAAAAGUCAUCCUUAGAUCUUCAAGCUUACCCGCUAAGUACAAUAGCCACAGCAUCGUUUAAUACAGAUUCACCCAAGACCAAUGCAUAAAGAUUAACAUCCACACGCAGAUCAUUGAAUAUGGCUAAAAUUGUUAAUGGAUCUGUGGGUGAUAUUAAUGCACCAAAAUACAAUGUAUCCAGAAAGGAUAAACUGCUGCUUAAAUAUUUUGGCAUCAAUUUCGCACAGCCAUACAUAACGCCGCCAAUUAGAAAGGCUGACAAUGUGGUACCCACAAUGGCAAAUGUCAAAAUGGCACCCAAAUUGCGAAAAAAGUAUUUCUGCAAAGAUAUAUAGAUUGAACUUACGUUAAUUAUGUUCAUUUGAUUUUACGCCAAAUAAUAAUAAAACCUUUUUUAAACUAUA